rnacentral:lncRNA from 13 species
GCACCGAACAGACCUAUGUUCCCGGGUUUUGACUUGUACAAUGUGUGGUUACCAUCAUUAGUCUGAAUAGGUAAGGUACGUCAACAAUGCAUUUCGCUGAAACCACCACUGAAGUCUCAGUCAACAUCAUGGCAGCAUUAGGACUCCUAUGGCUUGUGAGCUCCGUAGCAUCCAUCCUUGUCAAAUGUGAAGAUGCAACAUCUGAACACAAAAAGAUCUACCCAGCAAAGAUAUUUGGACCAUCUAGCGUGACUGAAGGGGUAAACAUCCAUUUUAAAUGUAGCACUACUGGCAUCAGAGGACCUGAGGACAAGUUCAAUUUUUACCUUUGCAAGAAUGGAGUUGGGAUAAGAAUUGCGCUGCUGGAGAAAGGUGAAGAUGAUGCUAUUUUCGACAUGAAGAAUGUCACAAGAGAAGACUCAGGCAACUACAGCUGUGUGUACACCAGAGAUAAACUUGUACCCAGUCACUUGAGGUCAACAGGGGAGAAUUUAGUAGUCUUUCAGGUUGAUGAAGAAUGGAAAGAGGCUGCACAUGGUGUGAUACUGGUCAAUGUAAUCCGACUGAUAAGUUCAACAGUUGUGGUCAUUCUUCUAUUGACUGUGGUGGCUGUUAGUUCCUGCUGUUCAAAAAGAGAGAAAAGAGCCAAGCAGCAAGUGCCCAAGGAAGAUACUUGAGGUAAGCCUAAUAAUAGUCUAUUAUCGUCUCCAUACUAGUGUUACACAACAAGAGAUAUUGAAACAAUGGACUUUGUUUCAUUUUCACAGGCACUGAAGCUAAAAAGGACUACAGCAGUAUGUACUGUAAUCUGCCAACCUGGUCCAAUGGAACAAUAUGACAGUGAACGCAGGGGGCAAGUUAGCUUUACAGGGACAGCCUUUUGUCAAGAAAAUGUGGGAAAUGAAUGAGCAACAUACAAUCAAUAACCAAUGUUACUUUGCUCAAUGGUUAUUUAUAGUACUGUUUUUAGCAUUCUUUGCUAUAAGUUUGUUGUAACAUUACCUGAUUCUAUAGGGUAGUGACAUUCACUAUGAAGGAAUUAAUUCCGAAUAUAUUGACAGAAUGCUUAAGAAUGUAUAGAUUGUUUAUUGGUAUAAUUAAGAAAUAAGGCAUGAGGAGGUGUGGUUUAUGUCCAAUAUACCACGGCUAACGGCUGUUCUUAUGGAUACCAUAUACAUAUACAAACCCCAGAGGUGACUUAUUUCUAUUAUAAACUGUUUAAAAAUGUAAUUAGAGCAGUAAAAAUAAAUGUUUUGUCAUACCCGUUGUAUAGGUCUGAUAUAUAUCACGUCCUCUCAGCCAAUGAGCAUUCAGGGCUGGAACAACCCAGUUUAUAAUGCAUCUUAAGGAAAACUCUACCCAAAAACUAUAUUUUGGUAUUUGUUUAAUUAGUCCAUUGUUGAUAUUGUCCCAAAAUGUUUUGCAUGUCA